GUUUUGCAACAGGCAUGCUAAAUGUGCCUCUGGCUGAAGGUAUUAACUGGGGCUUAUUUUGCAGAAAACAUGGGCAGUUCUGAGCAACUCACAGAAUCUUAGCAGCUUCUGAAAUCCCACACUCAAUAAAGGAUUGAAAAACAAACACACCUUCUGUAUAUUUCAUUGAGGAGGUAGAUCGAUGCUGAUCUGUCCACAAGACUCAUCAGGAAAGAAAUUGUUCAGCCUCACUCCAUAAGAAGCCCCUAUAGGAGAGUACAGAG